AUGUUUUGAAUAUGAACGUUAAUUAAAAUAAUAUAAAGAAAAUAUCUAUUUUGACUGAAUUCAAUAAAUAAAUACUAAAUGUUUAGGCAAAAUUUAAUAUUCAAAUAUGAAAAAGAUUGUUGACUGAUAGCUCCCAUGUUAAAUGUUAAGAUUGACAGCUGUCAAACUCUAUGGGCGUUAAAUUUGAAAAAACAUUUCCCAGGAAAAAUUCAAUGGAUCAGUUUUCAUAGAUAAACUACGUUUUCAGAGUAAUUCCUUUAUAAUUUUGUUCACUAGCACUUAAUUAAUUUAAUUCCACCCAUUUACAAUUACAUUUAUUUUUAUUCCUGGUUGCCAUGGAAACUGAAACCACAGGUAAGGAACGCAAACAUUAAAACUAUAUCAUCAUCAAAAACCCCUAAUUUUGCACUUUAUAUCGAUAUGAUCUUAAGCCGUUCAAAACCAGCGAUUUCGGGCCACCCGGAUGGUCCCAAAAACCCCAAGAAACCUCAAACUGCCAAAGAGGAGGCCCAAUUCGAGGAGUUUCUCGUAAAACGCGAUUACACCGGCGCCAUCACCCUAUUAGAGUUUAAAAAAUAUCCGGAACAUAACCACAAUGCAAACUUAUGGAUGGCCUACUGUUACUUCCACCGAGGAGAUUAUAAGAAAUCUUUGGAAAUCUACGAGAGCCUUUAUAAGAAAAAGGUGGAAGUUAAGAAUUUGGCCGUUAACAUUGCUUGCUGUUUAUUUUAUUUAGGGAUGUACGAAGAAUCCCAAGAAAUCCUAAUGAAUGCUGCCCCAAAUGACUUAAAAACCCGUCUAAACUUCCACAUAUCCCACAAGUUAAAGGAUGAAUCUUCUUUAAUGGAAUACCAUCAAAAUCUACAGGAUGUUUUGGAAGAUCAGCUCAGUUUGGCCGCCAUACAUUAUUUAAGAGCCCAUUAUCAGGAGGCAAUUGAUAUUUAUAAAAGGCUUUUGCUGCAAAACAGAGAUAAUAUUGCCCUAAACGUUUAUGUCGCCUUAUGCUACUAUAAACUGGAUUAUUAUGACGUCUCGCAAGAAGUCCUAGGGCUCUAUUUGACCAGGUACCCUGACUCAGUCAUAGCUACAAACCUAAAGGCAUGCAACACAUUUAGGUUAUAUAAUGGGACGGCAGCUGAAAAUGAGCUUAGAUCCAUAGUAGAUCAGACGGCUAAUGUGGGUUUUGGUUAUGAUCUGGUUAGGCAUAACCUGGUUGUGUUUCGAGAUGGAGAAGAUGCCAUGCAAGUAUUUCCUGCCCUAGUGGACAUAGUUCCAGAAGCUCGCCUUAACUUAGUGAUCCACCAUUUGCGCAACGACGACAUAAAAGAAGCGUACGAGCUCCUGAAGGAUAUUCAGCCGGCUGUGCCCCAGGAGUACAUAUUAAAAGGAGUCGUGAAUGCAGCUUUGGGGCAAGAGAUUAAUUCCGCCGAACAUAUAAAAACCGCCGAGGAAUGUUUCCAUUUGGUGGGCAGUUCUUCGAGCGAGUGCGACACUAUUCAUGGAAGACAGUGUAUGGCCGCCGCAUUUUUUUUAGCCAAUCAGUUCGAAGAGGUUUUGGUUUAUUUGACCAGUAUUAAAAGUUAUUUGCAUUCAGACGACAUAUUCAACUUUAACUUUGCCCAAGCGAAAACCGCUUGCCGCCAGUACAAAGAAGCGGAAGAAACAUUCCAGCUGAUUCAGGACGUGAAAAUUAAAAGUGACUACUGUUACAUCUCCAACUUGUCCCGCUGCUACGUUAUGAAUAAGAAACCGCAAGAGGCCUGGGAUCUUUAUUUGAGGAUGGACAAUUCCCCGGAUAGUUUCAACCUUUUAAUCCAGAUCGCCAACGACUGUUAUAGGAUGGGGGAGUUUUUGUAUGCGGCCAAAGCGUUCGACACCCUGGACCGUCUCGAUCCGAAUCCGGAAUUUUGGGAGGGAAAACGAGGGGCUUGCGUGGGAGUAUUCCAGGCCGUCAUAGCCAAGAAACUCUCCGUGGACACGCUUUCUGAUAUCCUGCAAUUGCUCAGAACCAGCAACAACAGCCAGGCGGAUCAGAUCAUGAGGGGGAUCAGAAAGUGGGCCAAGGACCAACGAGUGAAUGUACCUUAAUAAGGCACCAUUUAGUGGAGGGACAUUUAAGUGGUGUCAUAAGGACUACAAAAGAAAAUCAGAGCGCACGCCCAUCACGCCACAAAUUCUUAAUCGAGCUAAGGAGCUGAUCCAAAAUGGUUUAUCCAAGCGCCAAGCUGCUUCGCAAUUAGAAAUUUCAGAAGGUGGCCUAACAAAGCGACUAAAAGCGGAUUGUGGGGUUCAGCAGUUAGGUCGAUUUAAAAAGCUCUCUCUGCAUUCACCAGGACCAACUUCUCUGUCUAAAAAUGACCGAAACAGUGGUGGGGGACGUAUGUGCAGACAUGUAGCACACUUUGUCAUGGAUCGUCUCUUUUAUGGGCCCAGUAUUCGGUCGGACCUGAUACCUCAGAGGACGUUAGUGGUCGCUUUUUUUACCUACUUGAUCAAGGACAAUGUAGAGAGCAAACAGGCGGUUUUGAUAGAAAAUCUACUGGAGACGAUUCUGGAUGUCCAGUUGGAGCGGAGCUGCUGGGUGCGGAAGAUCGGGGUUUGAGGAUUAGGGUAUGCCCUGGAGAAUUUGAAUAAGGAGCUCGUAGUGCGGUACUGCAAUCCGAUACUGGGCAUUUUAAUGAACUGUUUGGAUUAUCACAAUUUGGGGAACAAAAGCGAGCUGAUCCUGGAAUCCUUGCAAUCCUUCUCGAAACUCCUUUAAACAGCUUGCCAGGGCACAAAUUCCAUCCCUUUCAAGUUACCGCAGCAGUGAGGAUCAAGUUGCUAUUCAGUCAAUAGGAUCCACGUCUAAGGAGAUCCUCGAUCCAGUUAUUAGGAAAUCUGGCAACAUCCCUUGGCCAGGAGACCAAUUUGGAGGCAUUCAAGGAGCAGAUCCAAGGGAACCUCAUCACUUUAUUCUUGCAUCUAUGCGAUCCAGACGUGUAUGUUGUCAAGGCCUGUAAAAGUACGAUCCAGAAGGUCGGCCCUUAACUGGAUUGUCCGGAGGUAAACCGCAUGAUCCAGGAGUGUUUGGGCGACGACACCGACUUGAUCUUCACGGAUUUUAUUAAGGAGUUAAUUAAACGCAUGAACUAAACCCGGACGGACUGGAACUCUACUUGGAAUUCAUUCUAAAAAUGUGCUGCAAACAGAAACUUAACCCAAAAACGCCCCGUACAGCCCACAGGAGCUGCAGGACACUCACACCAUGCAGACAUAUGUUCUAGGACAAAUGGGAUUUUUUGGGCGCUACCUAUAAGACGUAAUCAGAAGUAACUCUACUAUAGUUCAGAAUAUUACAGAAAACUUUUUUAAGGAUUGCCUUGUGGCACCAUCUAUAAGAUAUACUUGAAACUAAUUGACUCUUUGGGAAUGUAGCGGUAAGAGGGCAAACGGGAUCUUUCCUAACGCCAUCUACCAGACAAGCUUGGAAAUUAUUGACUACUGCCGCCCUCUAUUAACACCCGUCCUAACAAAUACCACUCUAGAGACAUCUAUAUAAGUAAACGUGUACUAUUUUA
rnacentral:misc_RNA from 1 species